GAAAUACCUCACUGUGUUUGGGGGGCUGGGGCACAAUGAUAUAAACAGCAUAGGAACCAAUAUAAAAACCCAAAGAAGGAAAAAAGGUUUACAAAGUAAAUGUACCUCUGGAAUUUGUCAUGGACUUGCACUUAUGGAUAUUUAGGCCAACUACCUAGCUUUCCAUGUCUUGAUUUACAACACUUUUGAACACCAUGAGGAAAGAGUGAGUUUUUGGAAUAAGUCUUUGCAGUGUGGAGAGAAACCGUGGUUGGAUCGGGGACGAAUCUCACAGUUCUACCAAAGGUCAUUGUGGAGAAAACAACUAAAUCAGAUGUUGCUACCACUGGGACAACAACAACCUUGCCAACAAUUUCCCCUACAAAGAACAUCAGCUUGGAGAUGCCCUCUAAGGAACCAACAACAGCGGUGAUCUGCACGGACAGGUUCGACAGCAGCAUGACAACAAUACUGCCAGAUCCUGAAGGGCACAGAGUGAACAUGCUGUCCAUGGCUGUGUUGGGUUUGCGAGUCCUGCUGGCAAAGACCAUUGCCUUCAACACCCUCAUGAGUAUCAAGUUGUUUCUUUCCUGAGCUCUUGCAGGUUUCUGGGGGAAAAGACAACAACAAUGGCCAAACCACACACAAGAAAAUCAAUUCUGUCCCAAAAAAGCAAUUAAGACAAGACCUCCCUGUCUCCCAAAGGACGAAGGAAACAGUGUUUUUCUGAAUUCAAAGCUCAGUUCCUGGAAGCUGGUUCCCAAAUUUUGGUUGCCAGAUAAACACAGGUAUUACCUGAUUAGCCUAAGAAAAAUCUCAUUGACUAUUUCAAGUAGUAGAGUACAAAGCCUGGAGAAAAAUCCAGACAAAUAAGGAUUCAAAGGCAAGGAUCCCAAAAUACAGAAGUGGGAGUAAAGACAGGCAGGGUAAGGAUUUUUAAACUAAAGUAUCUAAAGACGCACAAAAGAUAGCCCAGCCUAACUUUUGUGAGUGUAUCUCUCCUGAUCUGAGAGUUAUCAAGCAGCGGAUCUUAGGCCCAAUUUCAUUUAAUGUAGUUUAAACCUCCCCUUGCUCUUCCACACACGGAGAAUGAAAGCAAGAGGAACCUGAAGAAGAGCAGCAAAGAACGUGAACCUGCAGCACAAGGGGCUUGAACAAGCAGGGGCAGAGCUGCUGACAGAAACCAGCCAGGACACAAGGCAGCACCUUCCCCUGAAGACAUUGAUCACUCAUCACUCCUGCCAGGCCAGCUGAUUGACACUGGAGAGUUUUAAAUGCUUUUGCUGUUUCCUCUCCUCUGAGAACUGAGGAGAGUGCAUUUAUCCUCAUGCUCCUGCUAAGCAGAUCUCCUCACUCUUCUGGCAUUUGCACACAAGUGUCCAAUCUGCUUCAACAGCUUUGAAAAUUCCAAUGCUCACUCUACAUACUUGGCCUUUUAAAAGCACCUUUCCCUGGCAUGUUGUGUUCCUGCCUGUGCAACUGGAGCAUUACUGCAGAGGGAAUUCAAGGCCAGUAGUGGCCAUUUGUAGCUUUGGGUUAGAUUUAAUAACAAAAAGUGUGUAUUGCAGAUGAGAAGAGCUGUGUAGGAUCUGAAGUGAUUCAAUUCAUCCAGAUAAUGUUCAUUUCUUUAUUAAGCCUGUAUUUCUUCUGCCAAAUGUAUUACACAUGCACUUUAGGUUCCUGCAGUAGUGACAAAAAUAAAGUUGUA